rnacentral:rRNA from 1 species
UACGGAGGGUGCAAGCGUUAUCCGGAUUUACUGGGUUUAAAGGGUGCGUAGGUGGAUAGAUAAGUCAGCGGUGAAAUCUCCGGGCUUAACUCGGAAACUGCCAUUGAUACUAUCUGUCUUGAAUAUCCUGGAGGUGAGCGGAAUAUGUCAUGUAGCGGUGAAAUGCGCAGAUAUCUGGAGGAACACCGGUGGCGAAGGCGGCAUCCUGGACCGGUAUUGACGCUGAGGCGCGAAAGCCAGGGGAGCAAACGGG